rnacentral:pre_miRNA from 1 species
GGCCCAAGUUCUGUCAUGCACUGACUGCUCCAGAGCCCGAGUCGGAGUGUAUCACAGAACCUGGGCC